rnacentral:misc_RNA from 1 species
GAUGAAGAACGUAGCGAAAUGCGAUAAGUAAUGUGAAUUGCAGAAUUCAGUGAAUCAUCGAAUCUUUGAACGCACAUUGCGCCCGCUGGUAUUCCGGCGGGCAUGCCUGUUCGAGCGUCAUUUCAACCCUCAAGCUCUCCGGAGUUUGGUGUUGGGGCGCCUGGGGCUUUUCGACCUCAGGGCCCUCAAGUCCAUCGGCGGGACCGCCAGGACACUGAGCGCAGUAGUAUUAUUUCGCUCGGUAGGAUCUUCCACGGCGGGUCGAUCUGGCCGCUAAACCCCCCAAUUCUCACCAAAGGUUGACCUCGGAUCAGGUAGGGAUACCCGCAGAACUUAAGCAUAUCAAUAAGCGGAGGA